rnacentral:sRNA from 1 species
AGCAUAAAGUGAAGAGGAAAGGAAAGAACACAUACCCUAGGUGGAAAAAUUCAAGAGAAAGUGUGAAAAUCCAAAGAAUUAAGCAAGGUGGUGAGCUAUUUGAUAAGGAUAAAGAGAUUACACCAAAGAUCGGGACUAGGAGUAUUUCUACUCCUGAUACUGCUUGGGAUAACCAGUAGAUAGCUGAUUGCAUCAAGGACUUCAGUUAGCCUUGCAUCGAUAAAAUUGUAGGUUCACAGACUUGCACCUUAUUGGUUAG